UUUCUUUUCCCUGGAAGUGUGGGUAAUCGACAUCUGCAUUUUUACAGAACAGCUAAUCCAGUUAUUUCUCUUUUUUUUUCCCCCACUAUUGUUAAAUUUGUUAGUAUUGUGACUGCUGAGACAUUUUGUCUGGUUGGAGAUUAAAUAUUAGAGUUAAAAAUGCAAAUGUCUAAGGAAUAGUAGGUAUGUUGUGCUUUAAUGCUUUGUGGCAGGUUCCUAGAGUUUGUACCACAGGUGUAUGAAUGGAUGGUGUAUUAAAUGAUAAAUAAGUGAGAGAAAAAUCACUCGCAAUCUUUGUCUCUUUCUGUUGGGGCCAGUUUCUUGUUAUACUUAGAACGCUGGAAUUAAUAUCUGCUUUUGAAAACUUGUUCUAAAUUGUUCCAUUUUUCAUAGAACAGAAAACAGCUGAGUGAUUGAGAAGCAGCUUCCCCUGAAAGAGAGAAGUACAUUUUCUCUCUCUAAGGCCAUGUCUACACUAGCACUUUUGUCAGUAUAAACGAUGUCACUCAUGGGUGUGAAUAAAACCGCAUCCUGAGCAACAUAAGUUACCCCAACAGAAGAGCCUGUGUGGAUAACGCUAUGUUGGCUGGAGACGCUUGUUUGAGGUAGUUUAAUUAUGUCGACGAGAGCUCUCUCCCAUUGGCAUAGAGCGGCUACACGAGCGAUCUUACAGUGGCACAGCUCAAUCGGUACGCUAGCUAGUGUAGACAUGGCCGAAGAAACGAGACCGUGGAUGCACUGCUAAAUGAACUUUGUCCAGCUAGUUCACUCUCUCUCGUUUACACUUCGUGGUCCUUACGUCUUUCCCGAGGUCUGUUUUAAACUGGCUGGGGUCUUCCUAUUUUUAAAAAUGCAAAGAAAAAGUGGCAGAUUGUGCCUUAAACAUCAGUUUUGCUCAGCAAUACCACAAAAUAAGAGUGUCAGUGUCCCAUUCUUUGUGAGAAGUUUUGUCAGAACAAAAUAUAUUUUGUAUUUGCCAUUCAGAAUAUCCAGGCAUUCAUUCCUCACACAUCCUGUGUGUUAUCUACUCCGGUAGAAAUAUACCAGUCUUUGUUCUAAA